rnacentral:rRNA from 1 species
AGUGAACGCUGGCGGUAGGCCUAACACAUGCAAGUCGAACGGCAGCACCGUAAGAGCUUGCUCUUACGGGUGGCGAGUGGCGGACGGGUGAGGAAUACAUCGGAAUCUACUUUUUCGUGGGGGAUAACGUAGGGAAACUUACGCUAAUACCGCAUACGACCUACGGGUGAAAGCAGGGGAUCUUCGGACCUUGCGCGAUUGAAUGAGCCGAUGUCGGAUUAGCUAGUUGGCGGGGUAAAGGCCCACCAAGGCGACGAUCCGUAGCUGGUCUGAGAGGAUGAUCAGCGACACUGGAACUGAGACACGGUCCAGACUCCUACGGGAGGCAGCAGUGGGGAAUAUUGGGCAAUGGGCGCAAGCCUGAUCCAGCCAUACCGCGUGGGUGAAGAAGGCCUUCGGGUUGUAAAGCCCUUUUGUUGGGAAAGAAAAGCAGCAGGUUAAUACCCCGCUGUUCUGACGGUACCCAAAGAAUAAGCACCGGCUAACUUCGUG